AAGGAAGUUCAGAAAUAGAAAACCUGAUGAAGAUGAUAUGUAGUUAGAGAUGCUUAACAACGUGGCAGUCAGAGAGAAAUACCUUCUAACACUACUUUCUUUUUUAAAAUUUUAGACUUUUCUUCCAGUACCUGCUGGGAAAUUUCAGUGCAGUCAUGUUCCCUGUCACCUUAAAAGAACCAUAGAACGGCUGAAAGUUUACUUCAGGGAUGACCAAAAGAGAACAUAUGUUUCUCUGAUGGAGAGAAACACGGACCGCAUCAUAUCAACUUUAAAUAAAGCACGUGCAAAACCCGAGACAGAUGGUCGCUGCCUGAUGUCCGAGAUGCCCCCUCAGAGCGCCCUGACGCGCUACGAGAGGUUCUUUCAGAAGCUGCAUGAGAAGUGCUAGAGAAGGUGCUGCUGGGUGCUGGCAGCCCACGGGGACGUCUCUCACCCAACACUAGAGCCCGUUCUGACGGAACAAAGCAAAGCUGCCGCGGAGCGUCCCGGGGAGGCAGCACCACGUUACCGUGAAUGUUUUAUAUGUGUAUUGUCAGAUAUUUAUGUCUUAUCGUAGUUAAUAACAUAUUUAUUUAAUUUAUAGAGAGCUUUUAUAUUUGUAGAGAGUCCUAAAGUUCAAAGCAAUCACGAAUAAAAGAACUUCAAGUUAUUAAAUCUGCUGUGGG
rnacentral:lncRNA from 1 species